AGAAUACUCCCUCCGUCUCAAAAUUCUUGUCUUAGAUUCAUCUAGAUACGGAUGUAUCUAAUACUAAAACGAGACUUGAUACAUCCGUAUUUAGACAAAUCUAAGACAAGAAUUUUGGGACGGAGGGAGUAGUUG
rnacentral:pre_miRNA from 1 species